GAAUAAGGGUGCUAGAAAUCAUUGAUUUUUCAGAGUGUUAUUGGCAGCGAAAGAAUUCGAACGUAUUUUGCUGGCUGGAGAGGAAUCUCUGAUGGCUGGCUUUAUUUAGCCAACCAUUAGAUUGGAUAGAUUGGGUUCUUCACUAAAUCGAAUGCUACUGGCGACAAAAGAACACCGCCAACAGUUCGGUUGCACUCUCAAUUGAAAUUAAAAAAAAAAAAUUAAAAAAAAAAAAAAUUGUCUACACGUUCCCGGUGGAUUCGAAAUUGCGCUCAGAUUUGUUAUUCUAUUAGAUGAAAUGAGAA